GAAUAUUGAGAUUAAAGAAGAGAUUCAGUAAGAAGAGGAUACAUACAGUUUAUACAAAAGAAUAAGAUGUUAAGGUGGAAAUUACUGAAUCUCAAGACAUUAUGAAAACCAAUAAAGAGGAUCGUCUCCGA